rnacentral:rRNA from 1 species
GACGAACGCUGGCGGCGUGCCUAAUACAUGCAAGUAGAACGCACAGUUUAUACCGUAGCUUGCUACACCAUAGACUGUGAGUUGCGAACGGGUGAGUAACGCGUAGGUAACCUGCCUGGUAGCGGGGGAUAACUAUUGGAAACGAUAGCUAAUACCGCAUAAUAUUAAUUAUUGCAUGAUAAUUAAUUGAAAGGUGCAAUUGCACCACUACCAGAUGGACCUGCGUUGUAUUAGCUAGUAGGUGAGGUAACGGCUCACCUAGGCGACGAUACAUAGCCGACCUGAGAGGGUGAUCGGCCACACUGGGACUGAGACACGGCCCAGACUCCUACGGGAGGCAGCAGUGGGGAAUCUUCGGCAAUGGACGAAAGUCUGACCGAGCAACGCCGCGUGAGUGAAGAAGGUUUUCGGAUCGUAAAGCUCUGUUGUAAGAGAAGAACGGGUGUGAGAGUGGAAAGUUCACACUGUGACGGUAUCUUACCAGAAAGGGACGGCCAACUACGUGCCAGCCGCCGCGGUAAGAC